UCUUCAUUCCAUGGACAGCAAUAAGCUCUCCUUGCAGCCAGGAGUGGCCAUAUGAUGGAUUCUGACUAAUGAGAUGCAAGCUGAAGUUGCUAAUUGGGACUCCUAAAAACACUUUUAAAAAGUGAUGGACUCAUGAUCUCUUCACCCUUCUUCUGCCUGUCUCGAAUUGUCCAUCCUCAGACUUCUUGAUACACAAAAAAUUUAUUUUCGGCUAGGCCAUGUUAAUUUGGUUUUCCACUACUUGCAGCUGACUGUACUGAUUAUCUAAAACUGCUUUAUAAAGUUUUGUGACUAGGGGGUGGGAGCAAUGAUCACUAAUAUUCAUUAAGUGAAAGGAUAAAUGAUUGAAUUGUGUAUCUUAAUUGUGGUAUAUUCUGUACAACAUUUUUACAAUAAAUUAAUGUUGAAUUAGUUUAUUU
rnacentral:lncRNA from 1 species